UCAGCAGCACAUCUGCAUGUGGUAUUUGAGAGCUGAUUAGUCAUGCUGACGUUGUGCGGAGAUAAAUCUAUCACCCAGAGGAACACAAACACUCGGAGAAAUGAAAGGAAGCGAGGUGACACGGCUCUGCUGUUUCAAUAAAUCACUGAGACGUGAUUAAAACCAUGCGCCCGAGUGAUGAGAGAGGCUGCAAGUGCGAGGCAUCACCACAACCUGGUUCAAGGAGAGUGUCAGCUUUACUUCUCUUUCAUCUCCAUUAUCGACAGAGCCACCCCGCUCAGCACCAUUGUUCCAGGCAGACAUCUUUUACCUCUGGCGCAGUGCGUGGACGGGCUUCGGAAAUGUCCGGAAGGAAAGCUAAUCCCAUCACUCAGCCUGGGAAACGCUAAAUCACACAUGAAAGGCGAGUGGAAACGUUCCGUCACAGAUCACACGCGGGCUGCUGAGAGCUGAGGAACCGAGCAACAGAGGAACCGAAGCGAGCUUGGCCUGGUUCCCCUCUGCCCCGAUUCAAAGUGCACUGCAGCAGGAAGCAGUCAUUCCCACUUCCCGUCUAAAGGCGGCCCGAGGGAGACAAAAAAAAUGAAGUGUUAAAGGCUUUCUAGCACUCAGUGUUUUUUAAAUAAUUCCAAGAAAUGCUCUCACUCUCUGUCUCACCCCCUUAUCAAGGACGCGAUGGUGUUGGCCAACAUACUGUUGACUACAAGUGAUGAUACUUAUCAUACGAUGAUGACAAAUUUUAAUAUGGGUCAGGGAAUAUGGAUGACGAGUGCUAAAUUCUGUUCAGUUCAGGGUUAGAAACAUUAAACGUUUUAGCAUGUGUGUCAUGGGGGCGCUGUUGUUACACAGAACACCUGGCAGCUGCUGAGUUAUUCCAUAACUCAUUGUAUGUCUAACUAUCUUACAAAUAAAUAAACACAUCUGCAUUUGCACACGCUCUGACACACCUAGCCGAACAUUGGCCGUGUUGUCUUGCGUAAUCCAUCAGUACCUGAGGGCUGACAGGUGCGUUUGCCGUGGCUUUGAUUUGCGAGGCGACUGCCAGACUGUGGCUCGACCCCAUUAGCUGAGGAUUCCCAGGCUUGUUAGCGCCCUCCUCCCUCCUUUCCCCCAUUAUUUACCAGGCCUUCAUCACCACAGAAUGUGCUCCUUGUACAGAGUAAUGGAAGCAAUCCAUCCUCUCUGUCAGAGGCAAAAACAGCCCUGCUUUCUCUGAAGCCAGGGCAAAGCACUGGACCCACUUCGAGCCUGGCUGUUUACAUUACCAAGGUGUGUGUGUAUGUGUGUGUGUGUGUGUGUGUGUGUGUUUCUUUGGGCACAUACAUGUGAAGAAGUGUGAGAGGGUGUUUCUGUUUAAAGAAACACACACGCACACUCUUGUAGUCCGGGGAAGGAAGCACAUUAGGGAGGUUGGUUAGCUAGCCAGGCCUUUUAUUGCUCUUGAUGAAAUGCUCCAAAUAUAUUUCCACCCGUGUGUGUAUGUGUGUGUGUGUGUGUGUGUGUGUGUGUGUGUGUGUGUGUGUGUGUGUGUGCUUUAUGGGCAAAGGAUAAUUCAGGGUUAUUAAUGACACUGAAUGGGUUUGUGCCCUUCUCAAAGCACAGAGGUUAUUCCUCAUGAAGCUGUGCAGUGCAGGUCAACUGGGAGAUUAAUCACCAUCUGUGUGCACUGCAGUUAUAAAUCACUGUAGUGGUACUGGAAAUUACAAUUAAAGUCAAUACCAUUUGUUUAUUUUAUCCUUACUUUCAUGUUACUUUUAGCAUUUUUUACUUUCUCGCUUUUGUCCUUUGAAACACACACAGUGUGGUUGUGGCAAGGCACAGUACAGUAACAAAUCCUUCAUCAUACAUUGUGUUAUUUCCAUUGCCA
ensembl:lncRNA